GGUCACACACAGAAUUCAUCUUCUUGGUAACAUAUUGAUAAUUUCAUGCACCUCAUGGAAAAAACACAUUGAGGAAGAUGAGCUUCAUUUUGAAAGGAAAAAAGAGAUUAGUUUUAGUACAAAUUAUCAUUCAUUAAUCCACUAAUGGAUAUCUCAGAGCUUGUCUCUGCAGAGCCAUUUCUGACUUGGCCAGAAAAAGAAAAAAAAAGACAGAAAAGAAAGCAAUUGCACAAUGAUUCAGCUUGCGAUUUAACAUUCAAGAGCCUAACAAAUGCAUUCAGUGAAAAUCGAGCCUUAUUAAGCCCUCCUGACUUUGACAAAGUGCUUCAGCUGCAGACAGAUGCCUCUGACACUAGACUUGAGACACUGCUGUCUCUGAUAAUGAAGGAAGAGCAAACUGCAGUAUUUUAAGAAAGUAAUAUUUUUCUUAGUUAUUUUAGGGGGGUGUAAAAUGAAAAAAAAAUUAUGGCAGGGAUAAUUUUUUAGUCUCCUUCCAAAUCAACAAUCCAUAUUUUUUCCUAACUCUCACUGGUUGGAUAUUCUUUCACUGCAGGAUUAUCAGCUAGUAAAUACCUCGUAGGAGGGGACAAAAAAUCUCCUUCAGACUUAAUUCACAUUAUUUGAGUUUUUACCUUGCAUCUCUCAAUUUCCACCCUUUUU
rnacentral:lncRNA from 1 species